rnacentral:lncRNA from 1 species
CGGACCACCCGAGUGAAUAGUCCUCGCGCCGGUGGGACACGGCGGUGAGUGCUUUCCCCUCGCCUCCAGCCUCCAGGAGGUUCCCGGCGCCUCAGGCAGCUGCAGCUUCGAAGCGGCUGCCACCGCACCUGGGCAGCCUGGACCCUCGUGCCCUGCUCCCGAGGCCUUGCGCGGUGGGCGCCCCGGGACACCCCUGCGGGCCGGGUGGAGGAGGAGAAAGAAGAAUAAGAGGAAGACGUGGACCAGGAUCCCCAACCUCCCCACAACACCUGGCCUCUCCGCUUCCACUUCUUUCACACAAGGAGAGAGGAGCCAGCAAGAGCCAUGGGGGGCUGCGAAGUCCGAGAAUUUCUUUGGCAAUUUGGAUUCUUUUUGCCUCUGAGGACAGCUUGGCCGGGCUACUGUAGUCACGUCUCCAACAACCAAGUGGACUUACCUGCUGAAAGGAAGAUUCCCUGGGGAGACACAUCAUCAGUGACUAAAUUGACCUUCACAUGUAUGGACUGGUCUUCUCUAUGCCUGAUUAAUGGGUGAUGGAUGCGGACACACUGUACUAGGCCUUGAAAGUGGAACUCUUGCAUCUAUAAACUACCCUCAGACCUAUCCCAGCAGUACCGUUUGCAAAUGGGAGAUCCAUGUCAAGAUGGGAGAAUGAAUUCGGGUCAAAUUGGGUGAUGUUAACAUUGAAGAUUCUGAUUCUUGUCAUUUUAAUUACUUGAGAAUUUAUAAUGGAAUUGGACUUGGCAGAACAGAAAUAGGUAGGACAUUUU